rnacentral:rRNA from 1 species
AUAACAGUCCGAAAGGAUUGCUAAUACCUCAUGUGGUUAUCGGUUUUAGAAAGCGAUAACUAAAGCAGCAAUGCGUCGUUUGGGGAGGGAUCUGCGUCCCAUCAGCUAGUUGGUGAGGUAACGGCUCACCAAGGCGACGACGGGUAGGGGACCUGAGGAGGGUCGGCCCCCCACAAUGGAACUGAAACACGGUCCAUACACCUACGGGUGGCAGCAGUAGGGAAUAUUGCUCAAUGGGCGAAAGCCUGAAGCAGCAACGCCGCGUGUGCGAUGAAGGCCUUCGGGUCGUAAAGCACUUUUCUAAGAGAUGAGAAAGGACAGUAUCUUAGGAAUAAGUCUCGGCUAACUACGUG